rnacentral:rRNA from 1 species
UACGUAGGUGGCAAGCGUUGUCCGGAUUUACUGGGCGUAAAGAGCGCGCAGGCGGUCGUUCAAGUCGCGCGUGAAAGCCCCCGGCUCAACUGGGGAGGGUCACGCGAUACUGAUCGACUCGAAGGCAGGAGAGGGUAGUGGAAUUCCCGGUGUAGUGGUGAAAUGCGUAGAUAUCGGGAGGAACACCAGUGGCGAAGGCGACUACCUGGCCUGUUUCUUGACGCUGAGGCGCGAAAGCUAGGGGAGCAAACGGG